GUGCAUUAAAAUCUCAGCUCACAGAUUUUUUUUUUUGAGGCUUUGAUAUGAUCUGUUCUUAAAAUCCAUUUAGUGGAGGGGGUCACAUAAACAGUUUGUGGAAAUGGAGUUGAAGAGGACAUACUGCACAUAUCUCAAUCAGACAAAUCUGCAGGGAGCCGAUUCAGUGUGUCGACAACAGCUGCAACGUUGUCGUCGUGUACGGCGAUGAAACCUGGCACACACCUGACACGCACCCAGGUGAAAGUAAUGGGCUAUCACGGCAGAUAGGACCUGAGACAGACAACAAAGCAGAAGCAGCUGGAUUUCCUGAUGACACUCUGACCUGAUAGCAGCAGGUGACUUCGAUGCAGACAACGCCAAUGAUUGCAAGAGAGAUGGAAAAUUACAGAUCAUCAACAAGAAUCAAAUUUGCGUUAGCCAUUGUGCCAGUGAUAUGUUCAUGCUUUAAAUCAAGCGUAUAGCGUUAGGUCUGGCUAGGCCAUGGCAGUCAAGAGCUGCUGCUUAUUAUUUGUCUCGGGUGCUCUAGAUCAGCUUAUCAACUCUCCUUGCUCCUCAUUGGUUAGUUUCAAAUUUGGCGCCUUUCAAAAGUUGUCUGUUUCGUUCCCAACUCCUGGCAGCUCGCUUCUUUGCAGCCCACCGCCUCCCCAGGCCUACCUUGUUGUGUAUGACAUGGCAAUGGCUACUCCUUGUCAUGUUCUGCUCUGCUCAUGGGGGAAUUGUUUGCUCUCUUAAAGGUACACUGUGAGAUUUUUUUUGUUUUUUAUUUCCAGAUUUCAUGCUACCCAUUCACUAAUAUUACCUUUUUCAUGAAUACUUACCACCACCAUCAAAUUGUAAGUAUUCAUUAUGACUGGAUAAAUUGCACUUUUCAUACGUGAAAAGGGGGAUCUUCUCCAUGGUCCCCCGUUUUGAAUUUCCAGAAAUGGCCAGUUUUAGCUGCAAAAAUGACUGUACUUGGGCCAUACUAGAAAAUAUUUGUUUAUUACUUAGCAAACUUCAAGUUUGGCAAUAGGCAACCCAGUUUCAAUGAGCAGCAUAGUUGCAGUACCUUUGUGGCCAUUUCCUUCACAAUGUACUUCAAUCUUAAUCCCUUACCUUCAUUUUUAUUUUUACUUGUGUUUUUACUUUACUUUUACUUUUUGUAUUUUUCACGUACCCAAGGUUUCUUUUGUGUGAAAAUGACCUCUGUCAUGCUGUAGGCCUAGGCUAUUUGUUUUCUUGUUAUGUGUUUAAGUGUUAAGCAUGAGUAGGGUACAUAGGACAACAGAUGAAAUGUAGCAUCUAUGCUAAUUCUGGCAUGUUUAUAAUGAACCUCUCAAGCUGAUGUAUUGAUUACUAUGCAUUGUCCUAUCCAAAUAAACA